AGAGAGUGCAAGCGUUAAUCGGAAUCACUGGGCGUAAAGCGCGCGUAGGUGGAUGUUUAAGUCGGGUGUGAAAGCCCCAGGCUCAACCUGGGAAUUGCACUCGAUACUGGGUAUCUAGAGUAUGGUAGAGGGAAGUGGAAUUUCCGGUGUAGCGGUGAAAUGCGUAGAUAUCGGAAGGAACACCAGUGGCGUAGGCGACUUCCUGGACCAAUACUGACACUGAGGCGCGAAAGCGUGGGGAGCAAACAGGAUUAGAGACCCUGGUAGUCCACGCCGUAAACGAUGAGAACUAGACGUUGGAGAGGUUGCUCUUUAGUGUCGAAGCUAACGCGUUAAGUUCUCCGCCUGGGGAGUACGGCCGCAAGGCUA
rnacentral:rRNA from 1 species